CUGCAGCUGAUUCACCUUAGUGAAUCCCUCCCAUUAUGUGCCAAGAGCAAUCAAGGCUCAGCUACAAGAGGAGGGUGUACACAGCCCACAUUGGGGGCACACCUGGAGCGCACAGCUUGGGGGAACAGGGAGGCCGUGCCACUGGAUCCUACAGGACACCUACUACAUUAGGCCACACCACCAAGCCUGGGAGACAGCAGCUCUACCUAAUACACAGAAAUAAACACAG